rnacentral:rRNA from 1 species
CAGAAUCAACGCUGGCGGCGUGCCUAACACAUGCAAGUCGAACGAGAAAGGGGAGCAAUCCCUGAGUAAAGUGGCGACCGGGUGAGUAACACGUGACUAACUACCCCUUGGCGGGGAAUAACUCCGGGAAACCGGGGCUAAUACCGCAUAACAUCUUUGGGUCGAAAGAUCUGGAGAUCAAAGCAGCAAUGCGCCGAGGAGGGGGUCGCGGCUGAUUAGCUAGUUGCGGGUAACGGCCCACCAAGGCGAAGAUCGGUAUCCGGCCUGAGAGGGCGCACGGACACACUGGAACUGAAACACGGUCCAGACUCCUACGGGAGGCAGCAGUGGGGAAUUUUGCGCAAUGGGGGGAAACCCUGACGCAGCAACGCCGCGUGGAGGAUGAAGCCCUUUGGGGCGUAAACUCCUUUCGACCCGGACGAUAAUGACGGUACGGGUGGAAGAAGCACCGGCUAACUCUGUGCCAGCCGCGGC